rnacentral:rRNA from 1 species
GACGAACGCUGGCGGCGUGCUUAACACAUGCAAGUCGAACGGAAAGGCCCCUUUGGGGGUACUCGAGUGGCGAACGGGUGAGUAACACGUGAGUAACCUGCCCUUGACUUCGGGAUAACUUCAGGAAACUGGGGCUAAUACCGGAUAGGAAUCCUUGCUGCAUGGUGGGGGUUGGAAAGCUUCGGCGGUUUGGAUGGACUCGCGGCUUAUCAGCUUGUUGGUGGGGUAGUGGCUUACCAAGGCUUUGACGGGUAGCCGGCCUGAGAGGGCGACCGGCCACAUUGGGACUGAGAUACGGCCCAGACUCCUACGGGAGGCAGCAGUGGGGAAUAUUGCACAAUGGGCGGAAGCCUGAUGCAGCAACGCCGCGUGCGGGAUGACGGCCUUCGGGUUGCAAACCGCUUUCAGCAGGGGCGAAGCUUGUGGUGACGGUACCUGCAGAAGAAGCACCGGCUAACUACGUG